rnacentral:tRNA from 1 species
GACUUAAAAUCCGUCGAUUUUAGAAAUCGUGAGG